ACACCUUUGUACAUCGUUUCCCAGUUUUAAGGCCGAUUUGUACAUCUUUUCCCAAUUUUUUUUUUAUAGCUUCAAGAAAUAAACUUUAUCGAUUCCUCUUGAUUUUGUCGGUUAAGAACAAAUCACAAUGCUAAAUGUUUAUCUGUUUGUGGAAAACGAAAUUACCUUGCACAGAGUUUCAAUCAAAUCAAUGGAAGGUUGUAUCUUUUCCUUCAAUCAUAAUCGAUAAGAUCGGGAAUAUACAUUCAAAUCGUACAUAGCUUUGUUAGAGUAUGUAAAUCGGCCGUGAGACAAUGUCAAUAUCACUUUGCAAGAAAGGAUAAUCGAAAGCAAAAUGGAAAAAAAAGGAUUUCAUUUCCUGCAUAUCUACGAUGAGAAGGGUAAUCUUGAAAACUAAUUUCUUAUGUUUCACUUUAAUCUUUUAACAUUUUAUCUGUUCUGAUUGCCAAUAAUCGUGAAAACCAAUUGGUACUGAGUAUAUGUGAUCAUAAUCGAGAUUGUAUUGGUAAUAUAUUUCAGAGCGUUUCACAUUAAACAUAAAGAUUGAAGAUUCUGGAAACAAUUUCAUUGUUUAGAUGCUUCUUUGGUAUACUAACCAUGUUAGCAAGAACUAUAUUGACUAUUUUGUUUUGGCUAUUAAAACCUAUGUUACAUGGAAACGGAAGCGGGUACGCGGAAGCGGAAGCGUAAGGAAGCGCGGAAACGAGAUUUUUUGAAAAAUUAGGAAGCGAACGGAAGCGUGAUUUCAAAACGGAAUCAUAAGCUUCCAACGUGUUUUUAAAAAGAAUAUUUUGGAAGCGUUCUGGAAGCGAGAUUCCGUAAGCUUCCACAAGGUUCCGAUUCCGAUUCCGGUUCCGAAGCGGGAAGCGGACGUCCGAUGAAGCUUCCGUGCAACGUAGAUUAAAACACAAACCAGAAAAGUAUCUCAAUACUGCAAAUUGGUCAUAUGGAAUGUAAAAAGUAGAUAGAAUUUCACAUAAGCUUAUGUUAAAAACACAUCGAAUAUUGGAAAGCAAAAUCAAAAUCUGAAAGCACAAAUUUUAAAACAAAAAUGCGAUAAAAUGAAAGCCCAUAUCGUCCUCCUCGUCCCUUCGAAUGCUUCUUGCAAGUCAUUAGUAAGCAUUUGCUGGAAUCCUGCAAAGAAUGAUCAAAUAUCGAUGAAUACUGCAUAUUACUCAGGUUUAAAAUUGAUGAAUAUCUUCGAGUCACCUUCUUCGAGGAAUGAUUCAAAUAUCGGAACCACAUCCUCAUUAACUGUUGCAUGAAUCGUAUAACCCUGCAGCACAUAUAAGUAAAACCAUAUAAAUACCAUACUAUUUGAGUAUCAAACGCAUAAUAAUAAUAAUUCGUUUUUCAGAUCAUCAUCUUGAAAACAACUUACAUUUGAAUCAACUAACACCAUCUCAAUACUCUCGAUAUUGCCUGCGGAGUAUAGUCUCCAUAGACGAAUGAUCUCGACCUUAAUUUUCCACGUAGUUUUCGCAGGAUUCAACUCGAUAAUGUUGUCAAAAUUCCAGCCAUCUUAACGUGGAGUCUACUCUACAUUUUUUUUUUUAGGGAUGGAGACUAAGACCAUCUCCAAUGUAUUUCUCUAUUUUUUCCUCUAUAAUAGAGGAACUCUAUAAUAGAGGUGAGUUUCUCUCCAAUGUAUUCCUCUAUUUUUUCCUCUAAAAAGGAAUAUUCUUGAAAGAUUCUUUUUUUUAUUUUACAUUUUACACCUCUAACUUGUAAAUGUUGAAAAUUAACCCAUUCAUUAUACUUUUUGAAAUUUUUUCAUAAUAUUGCAAAAAUAUUUAAAUUAAACAUUUUAUUACAAAAAUACAUUAGACAAAAAAAAAAAAACAAAGUACCAUUAUCUAACAAUCAUUAUUACUAAAUUUUUCCCAUAAAUGAUCAAUUAAUGCAUUACAAAGUGAGAAAUGAGCUUCUUUAUCUUUGAUUUUUCUGAAUCGACUUAGAAACUCUUGGAAUCAGUUAUCUUCAUUAUCUGGUAUUUGGACUUCCGGAGGUGGAGCUUCUCUUCCAAUUCCAAUCGGUGCAUCGAGAUCACGCUCAUCCUCAAUAAUCAUAUUAUGUAAAAUUAUACAUGUAGUCAUUAUAUCAUGUAGUACUUUUUUUUUCCAAAAACGUACCGGUCCUUUCACAAUCGCAAAACGUGAUUGUAAAACUCCGAAUGCACGUUCUACAUCUUUUCUACAUGCUUCUUGUUGUGCUGCAAAAUAUUUUUUCUUUGGACCUACUGGCUCAUGAAUAGUUUGCACUAUGGUUGACCAUUUCGGAUAUAUACCAUCGGCCAAGUAAUAACCCAUAUUAAUAUGUUGUAUUGAUUAAUAUUUAAAUAAAAAGUCUUUGACUUUUAAAUAAAAUAAUAAUUUUUUAUUUUAUUUUAAUUAUAAUUGACUUUUAAAUAAAUAAUAUUUUUUUAUUUUAAUUAUAAUUAUAGUUAUAAAAAUUAAUAAUUAGUACGUAACCAAAAAGGUGUGAUUUUAUAUGUAAGAAUUGUAUUUCUUCAUACAUAAGUAUUUUAGUUACAAUCAUAAAAUAUUAGAGGACUAUUUUGUAAAUAAAAAAGUUUGCAUCUAUUAUAGAGGAAUGCUAUUUUUUCCCCUAAAUAUAGAGGAAAAAAUAGCAAUCUCUAUUUUAGGGGAAGAAAUAGGGGUGGAUUGGAGCUGAUUUUACUCUAUUAUAGCAUUUAGAGGCAAAUAUGGGAAAGAGUUGGAGAUGCUCUAAGAGAAGUGUGGGUAAAUAUAUAUUUAAUAUCCUCUUAACAUUAGGUUAGAAUAGUUUAGGCUUGUAAAUUAACAAAGAGCAUAGUAAUGGUAAAUUGGCUUGUGUUAGAUUUACGGCCUAUCAAAAUAAGAAAACUUUAAUAGAAAAUUAACUCUUUUGUACAAAUAAACGCUUACUUAUGAAGGCAAAUAAAUUCGCUAAAUAUUUUCUACCUCUAGAACGGACAAUGGUUCUUUUUUUGUUUCUCAUAUUAACAUCUCAUCCUUAAUGUAUGUUCCUUUUCUAACUCGAAUUAAUUUCGAUGGAAGCCUUGGUGCAAAUGUAUUCUUGUAUUAAAUACAAAAUUAACUUUUUUAACACAUACAUGAUCACAACCCCUUCUGUAUUUCCUUAUCUAACUCAUAAUAAAUUAAGAUUCACACGAAUUGACGGUUUGAUUCAUUGUAUUAAAUAGACAAAUUAACUUGACGGUUUGAUUCGAUUAAAACACGAUUAAAAUUUCAUAAGAUUCACACGAACUGUAUUCCAUGACGGUUUGGUUCAAUAUAGAUGAAUACCACAGAUAACCAACUGUUAUCGAAACUAAAAUUAACAUUUCAUAUUGGAGGGACACUAAACUUAGACACCAUUUGUUUAAAACUGAAUAUAUUAUUCAUUGAGAUUUGAAUACUGAAAGAAGUCAAGCAAACCAAAACAAAACAAAAUAAGAUGUUUCCUCUGCCAACUUCCACAUUAUUAAACAAAAUAAGAUAAUGAAAGGACUGUAACAUUCUGUUCAGACGACUAACAUGUAUGAUUAAGAUCUUCUAAGAAUGUGAAUUGCAAAACUGAGAGAGCCCUAAUACUGUAAUUUUGUUUAUAAACGGAGAUGCAAGAGUAGACCAUCAAAGAUAUUUAGUAAUGGAAAGCGACUGUUGCUAUGAUGUAUGUUAGUCGUUCAAUACAGAUAUCGGUGUGUUAGUCAUUCAAUACAGAAUUCUAAAUGUCUUAUGACCCUCAAAGACCAUUUUAAUGCGACUGAUGCUAUGAUAUUUAGUAAUGGAAAUAUUUAGUAAUUGAAAUAUGCCACCAACGUUAUAUUUUAAAACUAUGGUUUAUAUAAGGGGCUCUAGAAUUCUUUUAAAUAAGAUUUAGAAGGUAUACACAACUGCCACAUAUGAUGAUUUUUUUUUUAAUUAAUACAAACUUAAGGUUCUAAUUUUUUUAAAGAUUCUCAAUUAAUAUAUAGAGGAUAUUAGAUUUGAACGCUAACCUAUGAAUAGAGCUUGCUAGUGAUUUUCUUCAAAAUAUUAUUCUUAAAUAUGUAUAAAAAAUGAAACUAAUUUUUACAGAUGUCCAUAUUUUUAAAUUGAUAUUUAUGUAAUUCACCGAAUUCAGAGAAGAAGUUAAAAAAACAAAACUCGUAUCAGUGAAAUAUAAACGAGAACGAAAACACAAUUUUAUAGAGGUACAAAAUAAAAUCAUUUAUGGAGAAUGAAUAGUAAACAAAUCGAGAAGCGUAAAUCUAAUCCUCUUUCGUCAUUUUAUAAUUGAUGUUGUCUAUCUGGUUUUAGUGAUUUGUGUCAGACGCAAAACUUAAUUUUUUUUUGUGCAUAUAAUAAAUUUUAAAAAUAAUUAAAAUGAGGUAUAAUAAGUUGACUUUUCAACAAACCAACAUUGUCAAUAAAAAUUGCUUGCAAAAUGUUAAACUAUUUAAUGAACAAACAUUGAUAUAAAAAAUUCACUCCGCACGUACACCCCAAGAUAUCAUCUAAAUUUAGAACAUAAUUCAAUUAACUUUUGUGAAAUGUAUAAAUAUUGAAACAGUCCAAAACCAAUGUCUCCUUUCAUACCAAGAAACUAAGGUUGCCAUUGGUUUACCACGACAAACUCACUAACACUAUUCGAUUUUGAUUGCUCAUUCUUUAUUCUACCAGACCAUUGUUUUCUCAAAAUCUUGAUUGUGUUCUUUGUGCUAGCGUGUGUUGUGAGCAAGUUUUACGUUUGCGUUUGCUGAGUGGGUUACCAACAUUGCGACAAGAAAUUGAAUUAGGACAAGUUUCUUCCAACAUAAUCGGGCAAAAAGUCUUUAUAGCAAAGACCCAAAAAUAAUACAUAAUAUUUAAAAAAAAAACGCAAAUGAUGAAUAUCACUACAAGUG